AUGGUCGGUUCAGCGCGAGCGCGCAUAGCAGGGGGUGAGGGCGGUUUAAGGCGGAGGCAGCUCAGGAGGCGUCUUGGGGUCAGAGGCGAACCCAGACGGGGACGCGGCGCCGCGGGCAGCUCGGCAGACUCAAUGCACGAUAACUCGGUGGAGACGGGACCCAGCCAAUGCGCGCGCAAAGCCGCCGGGUUUGUGCACGGACGCGGCGGAUUAACGAAGCAGGGCGAGUGGCGGGUCAGCGCCCGGCGGUUUGACGGAAGCAGGACCGGGCCGAGCAGCGGAGGCGGCAACAGCAACUCGGCGGUUUACGGCGACUCACGGGCGGGGCCUUGGCGGGUCGACGUGCAGCGGCAGCCCACGGAGUGGCGAAGUGGAAGGACGAGCCGGCGGCGGUUGGAAUCAGGGGAACGAGCCAGCGGCGGCCCUCGAACGGUGUUGACUAACGGGGCGAGGCAACGGAGGUGGAGACCGGCGACCCGUCGCGCCGCUUGUGGAGGUGGCGAAGCGGGCAGUUGGUCCAGAGGCGAACCAGCUCGGCGGCUUAACAGGACCGCGGAUGUAGUGACUCGGACCGUAGACCAGCAGGUUGGAGGCGCGGCUGAAGCCGGCGGGUUGGAGCAGCCAAGGCGGCUCAGCGGGCCGCAGCGGGGACGGCGAAGGCGGAGCGAUUUUGACGAGACCGCGGUGGUAACUCGGAUUCGGCGAGACGGUUUCAACCCCGGCUGGUCUGACUCCUUGUCCGGGUCGUACUUGUCUUCGGUGAAAAAACUUAAACCGUCGUGA
rnacentral:rRNA from 1 species